ensembl:piRNA 21ur-729 ncRNA
UACUUUUCGUAUUUAUCUUUA